GCAGUCGCGGCCAGCGGUUAAGGCGAUGGACUUGAAAUCCAUUGGGAUGAACUUGGAUGGCCUUGAGGUUCGAAUCCUGCCGACUGCG